CCACGCAUGAACCAUUCCCCUCCCUCUCCUCGCGCAAGCAUCCUCUCCUCGUACCCUCGCACGCGCUAGGGUUCCUGCGCCGCUGCCACACGGGAGCUUGUCGACCAGCCCAGCGUCCUCCGGAUCGCCGCCGCCCCUCUCCGGAUCGCCGCCGUCACCGCCCCGGAUCGCCACUUUCGCCGUCGGAAUCGCUGCCAACGUCUCGUCGCCCCGGAUCGUCGCCGUCCGGAUCGCCGCCGUCGCCGGGCAAUGGCGGUGGAGGUCGACGGCACCCGGAAGCGCGGGGCGGCGGCCUUCCUGGACGACCCCUUCGAGGUGCUGCAGGCGAAGCGGGGCCGGUACUCACCGUCCGCCACCGCGGCCUCGGUCGCCGACCUCGGCAUCAACAUGGAGUUCGACCCCGUCGAGGCGGUCCAGUCCGUCUUCCCCAGCGCCGAUCCGCAGCUUCUGCGGGGCUAUCUCGAAGCGUCGGGAAAUGUCUUGGAUGCUGCCAUCAGAAGCUUCAGGGAUUAUUUGGCAUCGGAUUCAGCAACGACCAAUGCUGGUGCCUCCUCAUCUGGAGUGGCAUCUGAUGUGCCGGUGAUGAAUACUCCAGCCAACAGGACUGAAUGGGCGGAGCUAAUUGUCAAGGAGAUGUCGUCCGCUUCAGAUCCGAAUGACACCAGGAAUCGAGUCUUCAGGAUACUUGAAAUGUUCGACAAAUGUGCCGCAAACUGCAGUACUCCUGAUGAGGCGCAUAAAAUGCGUGAGAUGAUUAUAGCAACUAUUUUGGGCUGACCUCUUGCUGUUCUAGCAAAAAAAAAUUAGUAUUUUGUUUUUCUCUACGAAAUAUAAGGACCGAAUGGAUUUUUGGUCUAUAUUGCAAAUAUGUAUAAUGGAUUAUUGGUGAGCUCGGUAUUGGUGGUCUACUCCCUUUCAUCCCUGUAUUUCUAAGAAAACCAAACUAAUAUGCAUCCAUGUAUUUUUUCUAAUUCAAGUUCUUUCAUAUGGGUUACGUAAAAAGCAAAUGUUGCUUCUUUUUAUUCAGAUGCUUUGAGAACCAAGUCUACCUGGUUCUCUUCCUUUCAUCCAUGUAUUUUAAUGUGCAGUGUACAGUGUGUAGAAUGAGCAAACUUGUGAAUCUAGAGCACAAACUCAUGAUUGAUCAAGGGAGUGGCACUGCCGGCUGGGUUAGAGUAUAAUCAACUGUACUUGGAGUUUUUUGUGAUACGUGUAGCUUUCAGCUUGCGAGCCUUUCAAAUAUGCAAGUGUCCGAUGCCAUAGGCUACUAUGGAAGUUGUGAAUGUUAUGUAGUUUCUGGUACUACUUGCAUUCAGAAAUGAACUAAUUCAGGCUGGCCAUCUAAGUUUUACAUUCCGUAUGUAUAGCGAGAUCAAAUUUAUUUGUUCUAGGGACAUUUCUGAACAUGCGUAUGGAAUAAGAUCAUGAACACGUAUAUGGAUUAUGAAUUUAGUAUUUUUUUGAGAAGUGAAUUUACUUUUAUCUAUUGAUAAAAAAUAUUUUUGUUGUCAGACGAAGGGCACGACGGAUGGCUCCGGCGGGAAGGUGAGCAGCGGUGGAGAUAAGCGAGGAAAGGAGUAGUGUGAGGCGGUUGGCGGUGUUGAAGAGGAUGAGAGGGCCGCACACUCGGUGCCAUGCUACUGGAGGGCCCGCUGCUGGAGGCAGUCCUAGGGAUUUUUGGAUCAAUGACAGUAACGUUGGCGACCCAGUUAUCUUCUUCCAUCUCUGGAUCCUGAAUCUACAGCUCUCUAAUCUGCAAAUACACGCAGUAGCGACGGGUACAAUUGCAUGGUUGUGACUGCCGACCAGUACACGAGUGGGGCUGCCGUUCUCCUACCGGUGAAAUUUGAAACUUCCCUUGAGAGAUGCUAAAGUACUAUUUAUUUGACCGGCUUGGUGUACAUUGACCUUUACCGCCUGAAUGUUAUGAAUUAUAUUCGUGGUGGAUGAUAUGAAUGUCGGGGAGGUGAUGGAGAAGUAUGACGAGGAACUUGUGAAGGCUGAGGGCAUGGAGAAGAAGGGGAGAAUCUAAGUGGGAGGCUGACAUUGGCGAAGGAGAAGGCUAGAUGAGUGUUGGCAUUGGCAGACAACGGGUCAUUGCAGAUGGCAUUCACUGAAUUAUUCAAGGAAUUGAAGCUCCCAAAAUGAUCAAAUAAAUAAGAUAGCAAUGAGACAUAGAAUGUCGUGUUAUUAAUUAUCUUUGUCCUCAAAAAGGAUGUCGUGAUAGUAGUCGUGCUUUGCAUAUAAGUUGCUUCAACAACUAUAUUCUUGAAAUGAUGUGCCAUAGGUAGGUGGAAAAACUAAGAAAUACAAGCAUUACUCUGUGUGUGUGAGAGAGUGCUCUACACGCUGCCUUUAUGGAUUAAACCGGUGCUCUAAUUAAAUGAUAAAUUGAGUGUACUUUUUUUCUUUGAUCGUUAUAUGACAAAAUGAAUGAACAUGUGAGUGCUAUCCAGAUUAUCCAUGAAGUGCCCUGACAUAUGCUAUAAAGAGAUCAUGUGAAAACAAAGCUGAAGUUGUUGCCCAGGAUGAGAAGGAAAGUGGUCUUCCAGCAACACUAAACAUGGUCAUGUAUUACACAUACAUAUGAUGAUGUAUGUAAUGCGUCCGAUCAUUGUUGUUUUUUAUGUCAAGUUUAUUUGUCUUGCAUUAUGAUGGUCCAUGUAAAAAUACUUGGAUGAGUUGCCAACCCAGUAAGAAGUUUGCUUUAAUUU
rnacentral:rRNA from 1 species